rnacentral:rRNA from 1 species
AUUGAACGCUGGCGGCAGGCCUAACACAUGCAAGUCGAACGAGAGGCGGACGGGUGAGGAAAGUCUGGGAAACUGCACGUUGGAGGGGGAUAAGUACUGGAAACGGUAGCUAAUACCGCAUACCAUCGGAUGUGCCCAGAUGGGCUUAGAGAGUAGGUGGGGGAACGGCUGACCUAGGCGAAGAUCCCUAGCGGGUCUGAGAGGACGACCAGCAACACUGGAACUGAGAUACGGUCCAGACGCCUACGGGAGGCAGCAGUGGGGAAUAUUGCACAAUGGGCGCAAGCCUGAUGCAGCCAUGCCGCGUGUAUGAAGAAGGCCUUCGGGUUGUAAAGUACGUUCAGCGAGGAGGCGUUACUCGCAGAAGAAGCACCGGCUAACUCCGUGCCAGCAGCCGCGGUAAUUC